ensembl:lncRNA
GGAUUUAUCUGGUUGACUUCUCCUUUGAUACAGUGGAGAUACCUUAAGAAAGUUCCUUGAAGGACAAAGAGACAGCUGUAGCAUUGGGGAUAGUGGUUUUGAGGUCAUAAGAUGGGAAAAUAAUUAUAUAUUUGCACUGUCUCUCCAAAUGUCACUACUCUAUCCAGUCCUGAUCACAGGAGAUUUCUUUUGAAUAUAGAAGAAAUUCUCUAAGUUUUCACUGCCAAAGAGACUGUAAACUUGGUUUAUUUUCAUAUACAGAGUCAGGAACCUUUAUUUUCAAUGUCUGUUGAUUUUAAGUCUGCAAUAAAACAUGCUUUGCAAAGCAGUGCCCUAGAAUUCUUGGCUGAGCCAAGUUUAAUAAGCUGAUGUCCAAAGGUGCUCAAGGCAUUUGGAGAAAUGACUACUGUGGAAGGAUAGCACAAAAAAAGUGACAGUGUUUCUCUUCUUUUAGUUAUAUGAGUACUGGAAUUCGUGUACUUCCCUUUAAAAUAAUCAAAGACCCUUUUGUGCACGUUUUCAGUGCUUCAGUAGCUUAAGGAAGCAAUGAUCUAGAAAUAAUACAGCAGGAGCAUAUUAAAUGCCUUUCUCCAAAAGCUACAGUAGGUAUACAAGAAAUGGGAAGGUAUGCACUCUGCCUUAGGGCUAGGCUGCAUGCCUUCGUGAGAUGAUGCAGUUCCAGAAAGAAAAAAAACAGAAGACUGCAUGGAAGCAGAAGAAGCUACUGUUUCCAUGUUGUAGCUUUGGGAAGCCACCAUUCUAACCUUGCACAUCUUAAAUUUCCUUUUUUUUUUCUUUUAAAACUUAACCGAGCUUGCACUGAACAUCAGCUCCUAAAUUUCAUCAAAAAGAUGCAUAUAUUUCAGCAAAGAUAUACUCACAGGAAGAAAAUAGGCUCCAACCUCAUUUUUCUCUCACACUCAAGACUAUGGUAACAUGGCCUCCAAUAACACUGCAUUUGAAUCGCCUUCCACUAAAGAACUUCCAUGUAAUAUCAGCCUUGACAUACAGAUCAUGAUGACCCCACCUUUGGUUUAGCAUCAGUCUUAGUAUAAACAGUUCUGCUUAUAUUACAAAACAAAAAUACUUUAUGUUGUAACAUAUACUUAAUUUGGCUAUUUCAGUUCUCACAGGGCUCAAAAAUCAGAAAAAAAAAAAAAAUUUCAAAAAUGAUCUUAAACACUUUUAUUUUGGAUAAACUUUCUUUGAAGACUGGGACUACUUUUCCACAUUAUUGUAAUAUCUUUCCGGAGUACCAGAAGCUAAUGUGAAAUGAGAACCCCACUACAUUUGUAGCUAUGAUUAUUAAAAGAUAUGAAAGAGCCUCAGAAGCAUCAGUCAGUGCAAGACUUUGAAGUAAAACAGCAAGAUGUCUUCCUGUUACAAUGAAGGGAAGAAAAAAAUGGCAGGCAUAAAAUAAAGCUUUCCACGUUGGCUGUGCUGAACAGGGAAAAAAAAAAGCCUUAGUAAUAAUAAUAAUUGCAGUGAUAACGGAAACGUACAGUGCUAGAAACAUUCCAACUUCAUCAAGACUACCAAGAGCAAAGAUUGUAAUUCAGACCAUAAUACAAUCCUGGGAGUAAUCUUUAAUUUUUUAGACAAGGAGCGAUAACUGUGAGAAUCAAAUAAGCUAUAUUUUAGGGAACAGUUCUGCAUAAAGGGCAGAAAUGUCAGCAGCCACUGCCUGUAGGCACAGGUGCAUAAGUCCAAAAUACAGUGCAGAUAUAUGUGAGUGAGUGCUCAGGAAGGUUUCAGAAUAGCUUGACCCAAACAUUCUUCAUCUGUAUAUAAUAAGGCAGACUGAAGAUGGACCUUCCGCUGAACAAGGAUGCAAUGUAAGUAAUGUGAAUUGGGCUGUGUUAGUAAGGAAGAAAAGCAAAACAAGGAGAAAAUAGCCUUAGAAAUACAGCCUGAUUCAACAACACUUCUGUUUUCCUGCAGUCAAGGACAAGAUGGCUCUGAAACAAUCUACAAGCGUCACUCUGGCAUUUCUCCCAGAACUUUUAGGGUCUGCUUAGGCAUAAAAUACCUCACUGAGUAUUUUUAGUAUUCUCAAGAUCUCUUAUCCCAUGCUUCACAGGCACCUUCUGGGAAACUCUGCUUAAGCUUAAGGUGUGUGACCUUCAGCAGCCUCCAUAUUUCAGCUUCCUCAGUAACAUGAAGGAACCACUGACCACUUCUGUACUUAUUGCUUCACACUGCAGGCUGAUCUAGCUGACAGUGCCAGAAUCAUUCAGGUGUGGAUGCAAAGGGGAAGGAACAUGUAUGUUGGACCAGAGGCAAUAGUCCUUAUUACCUGGCAUUGCUAAUCAAUUCUAAACAGAGUUUCAGUACAGAGCAUUACCAAGAAUACAGAGUCUGUUUUUUUUAAAUACCUGGUCACUAUCAGAAGCAUUAAAGUUAACUGCAAAGUCCAUCAUACCCAAAUGAAUUUCCUAAUCUUAGAUCAACACACAGCCAGUACUCAGGACCAACACGAUCUUGGUUCUUGUCACGGUGCCAAAAAUGAGCUUAAAAUAUACCCCAAAUUGUAGGUAGAAGUCAAGAUGGAAAAAAAAAGAGCCAACACAUGCUUAGUACCUCUCCUCUCUUGUGUGGAGAGGGGAAUAUGGCUGCUGAGGACCCCACACUCAAGGUCACGAUAUUUUUUAGGAAAGGUGGCACUCUUCCUACUUUGAGGUAGCCUCAGCAGUACUGCCUUGUUUUAUGGGCAGUAACAACAGGCAACAGCUGGAAUUACAAAGUAUCUCCACUAAGAAACCUGGAAUAUCCCAAACAUCUUCAUCAGAGACUGAAAUAAGUGCAGGGAAAGGAAGAAGUGUGUUGGGGCAGCAGUCCAUGCUGUUGUGCUCUUACAUUCGCUGCCUCCUGCACUGACUGUAAAGCCAGCCCGGGUAUCUGCAUAUUGCACUGCAGCCAGCUACUGUUCUGCAGGCUUUCCUUGUACUUUAAAACUUGUUCAGUCACCUCGAUAUCUUUACACUCUUUAUGUCAGUACGGCUCUUUCUGCUGACUUCAACAAACUUUGGCAGAAGUAUAGGCCCAAUCUUUCCCACCACUGAGCUAGAACUAUGUGGCUCAUGAGAUAUUAAAUAGGAAAUGUUCUUCCCUUUCACUCUCUUUUCCUUUGUUUUAAAUAUUUAAUUCACUGAAAUAGCAUGGAAAAUUUCAAGCUGGUAUGAGUUCUCAGAAUAUAUCAAGAGUGUUGGGGGCCAGAAUUUAAUUUUUGUGAAGAAAAACUCUUAAAAUUCUAGUCAAGCAAUAGAAAACAUACUUAUGAGGAUAGUUCUGUUAAUAUAUCUCUACAGGUUUUAUAACCUGAGCCCGAAUUCAUUUGCAGGUUUGCUCAUAGUGACUGUAUUUGCAAUUAUCUCAAAAGAAAAGGGAGGGCUUAGCCUACUUUCAAUAAGACCUCUAAAAAGAAG